GCCAAUAUGAUUGCAGAGAUCAAUGCCAUGUUCAGCAGUGGCAUUAAUAGACGAAACUAGAAAAUAGGAAUUAGCAGAUGACAUGGUAACAAGUGAAUGUUACUCAGGUGAUGUAACAGUUCUCUGCUUUUUCUAUUGCUUACGAAAACAAUAUUUGACCAAUAUUUUGCAUCAUAUUUGAACUUCAUAACAUUUCUAGGCAAUGCUUA
rnacentral:lncRNA from 1 species